rnacentral:rRNA from 1 species
AGUGAACGCUGGCGGCAGGCCUAACACAUGCAAGUCGAGCGGCAGCGCGGGUAGCAAUACCUGGCGGCGAGCGGCGGACGGGUGAGGAAUACAUCGGAAUCUACCUUGUCGUGGGGGAUAACGUAGGGAAACUUACGCUAAUACCGCAUACGACCGAAAGGUGAAAGUGGGGGACCGCAAGGCCUCACGCGACUAGAUGAGCCGAUGUCGGAUUAGCUUGUUGGUGAGGUAAUGGCUCACCAAGGCGACGAUCCGUAGCUGGUCUGAGAGGAUGAUCAGCCACACUGGAACUGAGACACGGUCCAGACUCCUACGGGAGGCAGCAGUGGGGAAUAUUGGACAAUGGGCGCAAGCCUGAUCCAGCCAUGCCGCGUGGGUGAAGAAGGCCUUCGGGUUGUAAAGCCCUUUUGUUGGGGAAGAAAUCGUACGGGUGAAUAUCCUGUGCGGAUGACGGUACCCAAAGAAUAAGCACCGGCUAACUUCGUG